GAAGUAAAUUGCCUUAUCGAUUCUAACUUAGGUUAGGGUAGGAAAGUCCGAACACCAUAACGCAAUCAUAGUGGUUAAUGGCCACCAACCGAGAGGUUAGGAAAAGUGCAACAGAAAGUAUGUACAGGUUAUGCUGUAGUGAAAUCAGGUAAACUCUAUGAGGUGCAAUGUCAUGUAUAUCAACGUUUGAGUGUUGCGUGCACAAUGUUGAAGGGUAGACAGCUAAAGUUUGCUAGCAAUAGUAAACUCAGAUAAAUGAUAAGGGCUCAAUUGAGUACAGAAUUCGGCUUAUAGAUUUGCUUACCUA
rnacentral:RNase_P_RNA from 1 species